CAGUUUGCCCAAGGAGACAGUGAAGUUUCUCUCCUUGGAGAUGCUGAAAUCUGCCUGAAAUUGAUACCAAAAGGAUUAAUCUAAUUUCUACUGUGCCUGCGUAGUUUUAGCAGGAAACAGGGUAUGCAGGAUCUGCUUUCUCAGCAGGGAUGGUUGGAAGAUAAGGAGAAGACAUCUGGCUUAGGAAUGCAGCCACAGCCAAAACAAGGACUGAGCCUGGGAAAUUAGGGAGAGCUUUAUGAUAAUGAGCAGAAUAUGCACAUGGUGACUGUAUAUAAGCAACACGCCUGUAGAAGAUCAUGUGCACACAAGGUGGAAUUAUCCCCUGUGCAGCCGGGCCUGUAAUGAAUAAUGAAUGCCCUUCUGAAUGCUACACUGGUGUUAAGGAGUUUUAUUUGACCGGUUUUUGGUGAGUUCCAGUGACAGGAUGAGCCUGAGCAACCUGCUCCAGGUGCCCUGCUUCGAGCAGAGGGUUUAUUAGAGGAUUUACAGAGGUUCCUGCCAGCCUCAGUUGUUCUCCAGUUCUGUUCAGCUGUAGCCCGGGGAAGUCAGCUCAGGCAGCUCCUUGUUUCCCUGAAGCAGUCACCCAGAUCUCCACACCAAACCUCCUGAGCCAUGCUGAGGAAUGAAAUUCUGCGUUGUUUGCAUUUAGGUGAAUAUUAAAAAAUCAACACAUCUGCCCUUUGUCUCAGCCAGGGCUUCAGUGUGUCCGGAUCCUAGUCAAAUAUUUUUCAUUCUUAACAUUCUUAAUUUAUGUGGACAUUUUCAUCAUUGUUCUUCCCCCUAAAAUUUAUGCCAGGAUCAAAAUGCAUCAGAAUAAGGAGUGCAAAUAAUAUUCACAUCCAUAAUUAAGAGACCAAAUACUUUUAAUUCAAUCCUGUAAUGAUCACUCAGGAACAAUAAAAAUGAUUAAUGUAUUUAUAUUAAGAGUGGCUGGUGAAACUAAAUUUUAAUAACCAGUUUGUUCAUUAUUCUCUUAAUGUACCAUUUAGAGCAGCAUUAAUGUCAAUUGUGUGCAUUUCAUAGAAUCACAGACUGGUUUGUGUUGGAAGGGACCUUAAAACUCAUCUUGUCCCACCCCUGACAUGGGCAGGAACACCUUCCACUAUCCCAGGGUGCUCCAAGCCCUGUGCAGCCUGGCCUGGAACACUUUCAGGGAUGGGGCAGACACACCCAGUGUUUUGUAGGCUUAGGAUGUCACAAUGGGGGUUAAGAGCAAGAAAAUGUUCUGUUCUGUGUCUCUGUUCCAUCCCUGCUGCCCUGGGAGCUGUGUCCUGCUGGAUGUCUUUGCCCAGUGCUUGUUUGUCAGCACACGUUGGCUGGCUGCUGCUCCCAGUGGCAGACCUGCUGGUGGGGAAAGAGCUGAAGAUUUUGGGGUCUCACAGCCUGGCAGAGGUCAGAGUAGAGCACUUGAGCAUUAGCUGCAAGUUCUUCUAGUGAGUCUGUCUUCCUCGAAGGAUGCUGAACGGAAGGAGUUGUGAUUACUCAUGCUGUGGUUAAGCUCAGGAACCUGAGUUUGGACUGAGUCUUGUUUGUUUUGGUAGUGAACAAGACAUGAUGAAUGGAUAAGCAGCUUCCACAGAGCCCACAGUCUGUAUAAAUUAAAGUUGUGAUCUCUGCUCCACAGAGGUCGAAUAUGUAA